UACGUAGGGGGCAAGCGUUGUCCGGAUUUAUUGGGCGUAAAGAGCGUGUAGGCGGCCAUUCAGGUCAGCUGUGAAAACUCGAGGCUCAACCUCGAGACGUCGGUUGAAACCGUUUGGCUAGAGUCCGGAAGAGGAGAGUGGAAUUCCCGGUGUAGCGGUGAAAUGCGCAGAUAUCGGGAAGAACACCCGUGGCGAAGGCGGCUCUCUGGGACGGUACUGACGCUGAGACGCGAA
rnacentral:rRNA from 1 species